GGUUCGAUUCUGGCUCAGAUUGAACGCUGGCGGGAUGCUUUACACAUGCAAGUCGAACGGCAGCACGGACUUCGGUCUGGUGGCGAGUGGCGAACGGGUGAGUAAUGUAUCGGAACGUGCCUAGUAGCGGGGAUAACUACGCGAAAGCGUAGCUAAUACCGCAUACGCCCUUCGGGGGAAAGCGGGGACCUUCGGGCCUCGCACUAUUAGAGCGGCCGAUAUCGGAUUAGCUAGUUGGUGGGGUAACGGCUCACCAAGGCGACGAUCCGUAGCUGGUUUGAGAGGAUGACCAGCCACACUGGGACUGAGACACGGGCCCAGACUCCUACGGAGGCAGCAGUGGGGAAUUUUGGACAAUGGGGGAAACUCCUGAUCCAGCCAUCCCGCGUGUGCGAUGAAGGCCUUCGGGUUGUAAAGCACUUUUGGCAGGAAGAAAACGGCACGGGAUAAUACCCCGUGCAACUGACGGUACCUGCAGAAUAAGCACCGGCUAACUACGUGCCAGCAACCGCGGUAAUACGUAGGUGCAAGCGUUAAUCGGAAUUACUGGGCGUAAAGCGUGCGCAGGCGGUUCGGAAAGAAAGAUGUGAAAUCCCAGAGCUUAACUUUGGAACUGCAUUUUUAACUACCGAGCUAGAGUGUGUCAGAGGGAGGUGGAAUUCCGCGUGUAGCAGUGAAAUGCGUAGAUAUGAGGAACACCGAUGGCGUAGCGCAGCCUCCUGGGAUAACACUGACGCUCAUGCACGAAAGCGUGGGGAGCAAACAGGAUUAGAUACCCUGGUAGUCCACGCCCUAAACGAUGUCAACUAGCUGUUGGGGCCUUUCUGGCCUUGGUAGCGCAGCUAACGCGUGCGAAGUUGACCGCCUGGGGAGUACGGUCGUAAGAUUAAACUCAAAGGAAUUGACGGGGACCCGCACAAGCGGUGGAUGAUGUGGAUUAAUUCGAUGCAACGCGAAAACCUUACCUACCCUUGACGUGUCUGGAAUCCCGAAGAGAUUUGGGAGUGCUCGCAAGAGAACCGGAACACAGGUGCUGCAUGGCUGUCGUCAGCUCGUGUCGUGAGAUGUUGGGUUAAGUCCCGCAACGAGCGCAACCCUUGUCAUUAGUUGCUGGGCGAAAGGGCACUCUAAUGAGACUGCCGGUGACAAACCGGAGGAAGGUGGGGAUGACGUCAAGUCCUCAUGGCCCUUAUGGUAGGGUUUCACACGUCAUACAAUGGUCGGGACAGAGGGUCGCCAACCCGCGAGGGGGAGCCAAUCCCAGAAACCCGAUCGUAGUCCGGAUCGCAGUCUGCAACCCGGAUCAUAGCGCCUGGAAUCGCUAGUAAUCGCGGAUCAGCAUGUCGCGGUGAAUACGUUCCCGGGUCUUGUACACACCGCCCGUCACACCAUGGGAGUGGGUUUUACCAGAAGUAGUUAAUACCUAACCGUAAGGGAGGCUGAUUACCACGGUAGGAUUCAUGACUGGGGUGAAGUCGUAACAGGUAA
rnacentral:rRNA from 1 species